UGCCGCGUGAGUGAGAAGGCCUUAGGGUUGUAAAACUCUUUCAACUGUGAGGAUGAUGACAGUAGCAGUAGAAGAAGCACCGGCUAACUUCGUGCCAGCAGCCGCGGUAAUACGAAGGGUGCGAGCGUUGUUCGGAAUUACUGGGCGUAAAGGGCGUGUAGGCGGAUUGCAAAGAUAGAGGUGAAAGGCCUGGGCUCAACCUGGGAACUGCCUUUAUAACUUGCAGUCUAGAGAUCGAGAGAGGAUAGCGGAAUUCCUAGUGUAGAGGUGAAAUUCGUAGAUAUUAGGAAGAACACCAGUGGCGAAGGCGGCUAUCUGGCUCGAUACUGACGCUGAGGCGCGAAAGCGUGGGGAGCAAACAGGAUUAGAUACCCUGGUAGUCCACGCCGUAAACGAUGUGAACUAGUCGUCAGGAUGCUUGCAUCUUGGUGACGGAGCUAACGUAUUAAGUUCACCGCCUGGGGAGUACGGUCGCAAGAUUAAAACUCAAAUGAAAUUGACGGA
rnacentral:rRNA from 1 species